UACAGAGGGUGCAAGCGUUAAUCGGAAUUACUGGGCGUAAAGCGCGCGUAGGUGGUUUGUUAAGUUGGAUGUGAAAUCCCCGGGCUUAACCUGGGAACUGCAUUGGUGACUGGCAGGCUUUGAGUGUGGCAGAGGGAGGUAGAAUUCCACGUGUAGCAGUGAAAUGCGUAGAGAAUGUGGAGGAAUACCGAUGGCGAAGGCAGCCUCCUGGGCCAACACUGACGCUCAUGCACGAAAGCGUGGGGAGCAAACACGG
rnacentral:rRNA from 1 species